UAAAAAGUUGUAAGCCUCAACGAAAAAUUAUUUUUCGUUUUGUUUUAAUAAAAGAGCAAGUUUGACCGGAAAAAUAUGGUUUCUCUUCUUCAGGCUAACAACUUUUCAACUUACCCAUGCAGAAAACAAUGACGAUAAUGCAAUCUUCGUAACGAUCGUACGUUUAAUCGUGUGUUUUGCAAA
rnacentral:lncRNA from 1 species